rnacentral:rRNA from 1 species
GAUGAACGCUGGCGGCGUGCCUAAUACAUGCAAGUCGAGCGAAUGGAUUAAGAGCUUGCUCUUAUGAAGUUAGCGGCGGACGGGUGAGUAACACGUGGGUAACCUGCCCAUAAGACUGGGAUAACUCCGGGAAACCGGGGCUAAUACCGGAUAACAUUUCGAACCGCAUGGUUCGAAAUUGAAAGGCGGCUUCGGCUGUCACUUAUGGAUGGACCCGCGUCGCAUUAGCUAGUUGGUGAGGUAACGGCUCACCAAGGCAACGAUGCGUAGCCGACCUGGGAGGGUGGUCGGCCACAGUGGGACUGAGACACGGCCCAGACUCCUACGGGAGGCAGCAGUAGGGAAUCUUCCGCAAUGGACGAAAGUCUGACGGAGCAACGCCGCGUGAGUGAUGAAGGCUUUCGGGUCGUAAAACUCUGUUGUUAGGGAAGAACAAGUGCUAGUUGAAUAAGCUGGCACCUUGACGGUACCUAACCAGAAAGCCACGGCUAACUACGUGCCAGCAGCCGCCGUAA